rnacentral:rRNA from 1 species
AUUGAACGCUGGCGGCAUGCCUUACACAUGCAAGUCGAACGGUAACAGGUCUUCGGAUGCUGACGAGUGGCGAACGGGUGAGUAAUCCAUCGGAACGUGCCUAGUCGUGGGGGAUAACUACUCGAAAGAGUGGCUAAUACCGCAUGAGAUCUACGGAUGAAAGCAGGGAAUCGGAAGACCUUGUGCUACUAGAGCGGCCGAUAGAAGAGUAGGUAGUUGGUGGGAGAAAAGCUUACAAAGCCGACGAUCUGUAGCUGGUCUGAGAGGACGAUCAACCACAUUGGGACUGACACACGGCCCAGCCUCCGACGGGAGUCAGCAGUGGGGAAUUUUUGACAAUGGGCGAAAGCCUGAUCCAGAAAUGCCGCGUGCAGGAUGAAGGCCUUCGGGUUGUAAACUGCUUUUGUACGGAACGAAAAGCCCCGGGUUAAUACCCUGGGGUCAUGACGGUACCGUAAGAAUAGCACCGGCUAACUACGUGCCAGCCGCCGCCGUAA